UGGGGAAUAUUGCACAAUGGGCGCAAGCCUGAUGCAGCCAUGCCGCGUGUAUGAAGAAGGCCUUCGGGUUGUAAAGUACUUUCAGCGGGGAGGAAGGGAGUAAAGUUAAUACCUUUGCUCAUUGACGUUACCCGCAGAAGAAGCACCGGCUAACUCCGUGCCAGCAGCCGCGGUAAUACGGAGGGUGCAAGCGUUAAUCGGAAUUACUGGGCGUAAAGCGCACGCAGGCGGUUUGUUAAGUCAGAUGUGAAAUCCCCGGGCUCAACCUGGGUACUGCAUUCGAAACUGGCAGGCUAGAGUCUUGUAGAGGAGGGUAGAAUUCCAGGUGGAGCGGUGAAAUGCGUAGAGAUCUGGAGGAAUACCGGUGGCGAAGGCGGCCCCCUGGACAAAGACUGACGCUCAGGUGCGAAAGCGUGGGGAGCAAACAGG
rnacentral:rRNA from 1 species